CAUUCAUGCGGUACAGGUGUGGUCCAACUCACAUCCGGUCUGGCUUAGGAAGAAGCAUAUGACUAGGCGUAGCCAAUCAGAGCAUUCCACUCUCCUUCCCAUACUGAUUGGUCCAGGGAAGGAUAUGUAAAUCAAGUUGAAACAAUCAAAAUCUCCUGAAUGAAUGUAAAGCUGAAACAGCCAACAGCCACCACAGGGGAGUCUGUCUACAGUUAGAGCCAACAUCUAAAGACCCAGCCAAGAAACAGAGAUGGAUUCCAAUGACAUGGGGGUGUCUGGAUCAAGCCAUGCCUGAUGUCAGUCAUACCCAUGGACUUCUAAAUUAUGACUCCAAGUGAGAACAGGGAGGGUGAGCUAAUGAUUCGCCGCGUAUCUCUGAUGAGUACUAUAUUAUUUGCAUCAUAAUAUUUUCAUUUCUUCCCCCUGCACAUAAUGCCACGUUGACAGCAAGCUUCCGACAAUGUUCCUGAAAUUUCAUCCUCCCCACCCUGUGACGAUUUCCCCUCGUUGUAGAGAAGAGGUGGCUGAUGCUCAGGGAAGCAACACAUCUUGUUUAGGAGAGCACAACCAGGAGACAAGAAAACAGGAUGUGUUGCAACCACAAGAUAGAAUAUAUAGGCAACUCAUAGACACCUAAUGAAAUCCUAGAAUGACACACUGAAAACAAGAGGAAGAAGAGGAGGAGGAAGAAGGGGAAGAGAAGGAGAGGCAGCUGCCACGGCCACCUAAGUGAAUUGCUUGAAAUAGAAAGAGAAGCUAUUCAAUAAAUGAUAACUCUAGGACAGAAACUGGGAAAACCAAAUUAUGACUCAAAAACUGAAAAGUACAGCAUGUCAGAUAUUGCUUUUGUGGGCAAGCUAAAGAUUAAGCAGCUACCUGCGUUUUAAAGCAUCGAGGAUCUGGGCUUGAGGAAACUCUAUGGCACAUCCUGCUCUGUAAAUCAUGGAAAAGUCAUCUUAGCUGCCCUUCUUAAAGCCUCCUACCUUUGCCUCCUUAUCAGACAGGACUACUAAGUGGUCAUAAACUCCCGUGACUAUAUAAACAUUCCAGUGAGGCUGGCCCUGUUCAAAUCCUUUCCAAAGCUCCUCUUUGGGAAGCACUGGGCACUUCACUAGAGACCAGUUGCCUUGUGUCACAGCUCCAUUUUUUAUUCAAAAUGGCAUCUCCUACCUUUCCCAGCUCCCCAGCUCCAGUUCCUAAUAAUUUCUGCUUGUUUCAAAAGCUCACAGGCCUUACAUGUGUAAGCCAUGCCUGGAAAUUAUUAUGUGAAAGAGUUUAAAAACUAAAUUGAAAGCUGUCCUUGAUAACCUGGCUAAAGGUCGUGCUGGAGUUUGUAAGACAGGAGUUGGGUGGGCACCGAAGGUUUCUGGAAGGUGACACUCACUGCAGGGGAGAGUGAGCGGGUGAGAACCAACAGGGGGAACAAGAGGGAGUCAGGGAGUCGGCAGGAACUUGAGAAGAGGCACAGGGAAGGCAGAGGCCGGACCCCUGCAUGUGUGUGGGUCAGAGGUUAAUUAGAGUCUAAGAGAAGAAAAGUCUAUGUAGGUUUGGUGUGGGGUACUUGGAAAGGGACCAGCGUCAGAUUUCUGGGGUCCAGGCAGGGCCACAGUGCUCACCCUUUGCUCCACAGAAAGAGUGGGCCACGGGCAUGCAGGUCACUAUGGCCACAGACUGUAAGGCCACUUUCCCUCCUGACUACCCUCCAACUUCCGCCCUCCCAGGGAGUAAGAGAAAUGCACCAACAGAGCAGGGAAGAGGAGUCACAGAGGGCUUGGAAGAUGUAACGGUAGCAAAUAACAUUUACUGCCCCUUCACUACCUGUACGCACUGGGUAGCCUUUCUCUUAUUUAACCUCACGGCAAUCCCUGGAGGAUACAUAUACCGAGCAUUAACAAUUCUCUAGGCCAGGCACAGUGGCUCACGCCUGUAAUCCUAGCACUCUGGGAGGCUGAGACAGGAGGA